GAUGAACGCUGGCGGCGUGCCUAAUACAUGCAAGUCGAGCGAACGGACGAGAAGCUUGCUUCUCUGAUGUUAGCGGCGGACGGGUGAGUAACACGUGGAUAACCUACCUAUAAGACUGGGAUAACUUCGGGAAACCGGAGCUAAUACCGGAUGAUAUUUUGAACCGCAUGGUUCAAAAGUGAAAGACGGUCUUGCUGUCACUUAUAGAUGGAGCCGCGCUGCAUUAGCUAGUUGGUAAGGUAACGGCUUACCAAGGCAACGAUGCAUAGCCGACCUGAGAGGGUGAUCGGCCACACUGGAACUGAGACACGGUCCAGACUCCUACGGGAGGCAGCAGUAGGGAAUCUUCCGCAAUGGGCGCAAGCCUGACGGAGCAACGCCGCGUGAGUGAUGAAGGUCUUCGGAUCGUAAAACUCUGUUAUUAGGGAAGAACAUAUGUGUAAGUAACUGUGCACAUCUUGACGGUACCUAAUCAGAAAGCCACGGCUAACUACGUG
rnacentral:rRNA from 1 species